rnacentral:rRNA from 2 species
GGUAACUUGCCCUAAAGGGGGGGAUAACAUUUGGAAACAGUUGGUAAUACCGCAUAAAACCUAGCACCGCAUGGUGCAAGGUUGAAAGAUGGUUUCGGCUAUCACUUUUGGAUGGACCCGCGGCGCAUUAGUUAGUUGGUGAGGUAAAGGCUCACCAAGACCGUGAUGUAUAGCCGGCCUGAGAGGGUAAUUGGCCACACUGGGAUUGAGACACGGCCCAGACUCCUACGGGAGGCAGCAGUAGGGAAUUUUCCACAAUGGACGAAAGUUUGAUGGAGCAACGCCGCGUGAGUGAAGAAGGUUUUCGGAUCGUAAAACUCUGUUGUUGGAGAAGAACGUAUUUGAUAGUAACUGAUCAGGUAGUGACGGUAUCCAACCAGAAAGCCACGGCUAAUUACGUGCCAGCAGCCGCGGUAAUACGUAGGUGGCAAGCGUUGUCCGGAUUUAUUGGGCGUAAAGCGAGCGCAGGCGGUUUCUUAAGUCUGAUGUGAAAGCCUUCGGCUCAACCGAAGAAGUGCAUCGGAACUGGGAAACU